rnacentral:snoRNA from 1 species
AGGUAAUUUUAAAGAGGGAUUGUUUGGCUGUGAAGCACAAUUUCUAAAUGCUAUGACCAAAGAUUGCAUUUCUUCACAGGACUCCAUAAACAUUCAAUGGUGCUAUGUUUUCCUUAGGAAAUAAAAGA